AAGAGGUCCCUCGUCAUGAUCUAAAAACAUGGGAGCAAUACAGGUCUCCUUCAGUCUGGAAGGUAAAGACCCUUGUCCCAAAACUGAACAUGGUUCCCGACUGCUGUCUCUCCAGCCCCUUCUUUGGGUCCUUCAGAGAGGAAGCAGCAUCGUCUCCA